AUACCCAAAAUCAAAAUCGGAAGUGACAGACACACUUCAAAGUGCUGCCAAGAUCAACCAAAAGAAAUACGACGCAGUGUAAUAUAUAUAUUUUAUAUUUUUCAUGUUUUUUUUUUUUUAAUAUU
rnacentral:ribozyme from 1 species